rnacentral:ribozyme from 1 species
AAACACAGAGAAGAAAGAGAACCCAAGGAGGAAAAACCUUUUGUGACUUUUGUCUUUCUCGCAAUGUCAACUUCAAAGGUUUGUGUUGUUUUUGUUUUUUUGUUUUUUUUCUCCCCUGUU